UACACUCCUACGGGAGGCAGCAGUGGGGAAUUUUGGACAAUGGGCGAAAGCCUGAUCCAGCAAUGCCGCGUGAGUGAAGAAGGCCUUCGGGUUGUAAAGCUCUUUUGUCAGGGAAGAAACGGUGAAAGCUAAUAUCUUUUGCUAAUGACGGUACCUGAAGAAUAAGCACCGGCUAACUACGUGCCAGCAGCCGCGGUAAUACGUAGGGUGCAAGCGUUAAUCGGAAUUACUGGGCGUAAAGCGUGCGCAGGCGGUUUUGUAAGUCUGAUGUGAAAUCCCCGGGCUCAACCUGGGAAUUGCAUUGGAGACUGCAAGGCUAGAAUCUGGCAGAGGGGGGUAGAAUUCCACGUGUAGCAGUGAAAUGCGUAGAUAUGUGGAGGAACACCGAUGGCGAAGGCAGCCCCCUGGGUCAAGAUUGACGCUCAUGCACGAAAGCGUGGGGAGCAAACAGGAUUAGAAACCCCUGUAGUCCC
rnacentral:rRNA from 1 species